GACCUUGUAGUUUAACGGGAUAAAACGGGAACCUCCUAAGUUCUUGCUCCCAGUUCGAGUCUGGGCAGGGUCA
rnacentral:tRNA from 1 species